rnacentral:rRNA from 1 species
UGACCUCAAAUCGGGUGAGACUACCCGCUGAACUUAAGCAUAUCAAUAAGCGGAGGAAAAGAAACUAACAAGGAUUCCCCUAGUAACUGCGAGUGAAGCGGGAAAAGCUCAAAUUUAAAAUCUGGCGGUCUUUGGCUGUCCGAGUUGUAAUUUAGAGAAGCGUCUUCCGCGCCGGACCGUGCACAAGUCUCCUGGAAUGGAGCGUCAUAGAGGGUGAGAAUC